rnacentral:rRNA from 1 species
ACGGCUCAGUAACACGUGGAUAACCUGCCCUUGGGUCUGGGAUAACCCCGGGAAACUGGGGAUAAUACCGGAUAACGCAUAUAUGCUGGAAUGCUUUAUGCGUAAAAUGGAUUCGUCUGCCCAAGGAUGGGUCUGCGGCCUAUCAGGUAGUAGUGGGUGUAAUGUACCUACUAGCCUACAACGGGUGCGGGUUGUGAGAGCAAGAGCCCGGAGAUGGAUUCUGAGACAUGAAUCCAGGCCCUACGGGGCGCAGCAGGCGCGAAAACUUUACAAUGCGGGAAACCGUGAUAAGGGGACACCGAGUGCCAGCAUCAUAUGCUGGCUGUCCAGAUGUGUAAAAUACAUCUGUUAGCAAGGGCCGGGCAAGACCGGUGCCAGCCGCCGCGGUAACACCGGCGGCCCGAGUGGUGAUCGUGAUUAUUGGGUCUAAAGGGUCCGUAGCCGGUUUGGUCAGUCCUCCGGGAAAUCUGAUGGCUCAACCAUUAGGCUUUCGGGGGAUACUGCCAGGCUUGGAACCGGGAGAGGUAAGAGGUACUACAGGGGUAGGAGUGAAAUCUUGUAAUCCCUGUGAGACCACCUGUGGGCGAAGGCGUCUUACCAGAACGGGUUCGACGGUGAGGGACGAAAGCUGGGGGGCACGAACCGGAUUAGAUACCCGGGGUAGUCCCAGCCGUAAACGAUGCUCGCUAGGGUGUCAGGCAUUGGCGCGACCGUGUCU